rnacentral:rRNA from 1 species
GACGAACGCUGGCGGCGUGCCUAACACAUGCAAGUCGAGCGGAGGGAUCUGAAGAGCGAUCUAAGGAUGCCUGAGCGGCGGACGGGUGAGUAACACGUGAGCAACCUGCCUAUCACAGGGGGAUAACGCAGCGAAAGCUGCACUAAUACCGCAUGAGACCACAGCGGCGAUGACCGCGGGGGUCAAAGGAGCGAUCCGGUGAGAGAUGGGCUCGCGUCCGAUUAGGUAGUUGGUGAGGUAACGGCCCACCAAGCCAAUGAUCGGUAGCCGGCCUGAGAGGGUGAUCGGCCACAUUGGAACUGAGACACGGUCCAGACUCCUACGGGAGGCAGCAGUGGGGAAUAUUGCACAAUGGGGGAAACCCUGAUGCAGCAACGCCGCGUGAGUGAUGAAGGCCUUCGGGUCGUAAAGCUCUCUGAUCAGGGACGAUAAUGUCGGUACCUGAAAAACAAGCCACGGCUAACUACGUGCCAGCAGCCGCGGUAAUACGUAGGUGGCGAGCGUUGUCCGGAUUUACUGGGCGUAAAGAAUGCGUAGGUGGAUAUUUAAGUGGGAUGUGAAAUCCCCGGGCUCAACCCGGGAACUGCAUACCAAACUGGAUAUCUGGAGUGCAGGAGAGGAAAGCGGAAUUCCUAGUGUAGCGGUGAAAUGCGUAGAUAUUAGGAGGAACACCAGUGGCGAAGGCGGCUUUCUGGACUGUAACUGACACUGAGGCAUGAAAGCGUGGGGAGCAAACAGGAUUAGAUACCCUGGUAGUCCACGCCGUAAACUAUGGGUACUAGGUGUAGGGGGUAUCGACUCCCCCUGUGCCGCCGUUAACACAAUAAGUACCCCGCCUGGGGAGUACGGUCGCAAGACUA